GUAGUUUCUUUGUAACCGCUUUCUUUGUUGCAUUUCUAAUGUGCCUUAUAUCCUGAUAGGAGCACUCUGAUGUAAACAGAGACUGGAGAGUUUCCUGAGCACAGUCUGUGGGCUAGGCUGUGUAUUGCUCUCUAAGCAAUGACAACAAGGAAUUAAGGCCCUAUCAUGCUCCAGAUUAGAGGGUGACAAAGGGAAGAAUUUAGAUGUAAUACC